rnacentral:lncRNA from 10 species
CAGAGCGAGAUUCCAUCUCAAAAAAAAAAAAAUUAAAAUAUUUUCACACUGUCUAUGAAAUAGCUUUGUCCCUGAUCAUCUCCCCACCAGCCCUUUCUACUCCUACCCUGUUCUACAGGAUUCAGCAACUAAGGAGUUAAUGCCUGGCACACCUUUCUUAUUGACUGGCCAGUCUCUGGUUUAGUAUUUAAACAUCAUUACUGCUUCAAAGAUACCACCUGACAGGGGAAUGAAAGUUAUUAGAUAAUAAACCACCCAUGUAUCUCAUCUGAAGAAAAUAUUUGAGAAAGAACGCCAGCCAAAUAAGAAAAAAAUCAAAACAGAGAUUUCAAGAGAGAAGAAGAAAAGAGAUGAAAACAAUGAUGAGAAAUGAGCCUUGCAAUAUGUACUAAAAUUUAAAUAGAUAAUGAUAGAGUGGGAUUAUAUAGGCAGAAUUCGAAUUUUUGAAAUAGAAAAUAUUUUCUGCAAGAGAAAAUUUACUACAAAGUUAAAAUUACACGUACCAGAUUAUCUCAGCAAAACCUAGGGAUAGAGGAAAGAGAAAGAAGGGAAGUAAACCAACUCUUGGGUCUCAUCUUUUUUGGGGGCAGGGGAACAGAUAUGGACAAUGGGCAUAACAUUCUAAGGGUUUCAUAUUCUUAGGGAGGGAGACCAGUGGUAAGUAGAGCACCUGGGUGGGGACAGGUGGCAUCUUUUUUGAUGAAAUAGUCAAGAAAUAUAUUUGAUUAUAAAUGUCAGAGAAGAGAAGAUAGCUAUCAGAAAUGGGAAAAUAUGGUAAAACUUUCCAAUUAACAAGGUGAAAAGGCUGGAUGUGGUGGCUCAUGCCUGUAAUCCCAGUACUUUGGGUGGCCAAGGCGAGCAGAUUGCUUGAGCCCAGGAUUUUGAGACCAGCCUGGGCAACAUGGAAAAACCCAGUCUCUACAAAAAAUACAAAAAUUAGCCAGGCGUGGUAGUACAUGCCUACAGUCCCAGCUACUCGGGAGGCUGAGGUGGGAGGAUCGCUUGAGCCCAGGAGGUUGAGGCUGCGGUGAGCCAUGAUUGUGCCACCGCACUCCAGCCUGAAUGACAGAGUGAGACCCUGUCUCCCAAAAAACCAAAACUUAAACAAAACAAAAACAAAAAAACCCCACAAGAAUUAUAUAGGAAUUUUGUUACACCACCAAAAACAAUGAAAAGGGAAAAGAAAAACCACAAAUCAAAGUACCUAAUAAAAAUAAAGAUGGAAGUGAUGAAAAGAAGCACAUCAGUUAUUUUACUAUGUAUGAAGAGGAUACUUUUAUCCAUUUGAGACAUAGAAACUUUUUGAUACAGUAAAAACCAAAAAUAAGUAUAUUUGAUUAUAAAUGUCAGAUAUAUCAACAUAUCACUCUUAAGGUGACAAAGAUUAACAAUAAAAGGAUGGACAAAUAACACUAGACAAAAUGCAAACAAAAAGAAAUCAGGAAUGUCAACGAGGUGGAAUGUAAGUUUAGAAGCUUGAAACAGGAUAAAGGAGAAUAUUAUAUAACAAUAAAAGACACAAUCUACAAAGAAGAUGUGUAAUAAUUAUGUAUAUACUAAACAGCUUUGCAUUAUAUAUGAAGCCAAAGGUAAUUAAAAUAUGAAACUUUGAUAAAAAAUAUACAAUUACUCUGAGAGAUUUUAACUCAUGUCUUUCAGAUCAAUAGAUACAGUAGUAAAAAAUGUAAGACAUAUAAAGACUGAAUAAUGCAAAAGUCCAAAGUUUUAUGUCCUAUAAAUGGAGAACUAUUUUAUUGUUUGUGAAGCAUUUUCCAAAGUUGGUAUUACCUUGACCAUAAAGGUUGUUAAUAAAAAUUUUAAAGUAGAUAUUUUUUCAGGCAAAAUUCUUUAAUCAAAUACCAAUUACAUUAAAUAUAAAUAACUAAAGGAUGGUAAUUGUAUUUUUUUCUACUUGAAAAUUAAAAAGUGUCUUUCUAAAUAAAUCCUGGAUCAAAAAAGAACCAAUAAAAAACUAUGCUUUUAGUUAGGAAGACAAUAUAAUCUUCCAAAUAUUAAUAGGCAUAUACAAUAUAUUUCAAUGAGAUUCACUUUUCUAUUCUUUUUUCUUCAGAGAUGGGGUCAUGUUAUGUUAACCAGGUUAGUCUUGAGCUCCUGGCCUCAAGCAAUCCUCCUGCCUCAGCCUCCCAAAGUGCUAGGAUUCCAGGCAAGAACCACUGCACCGGGCCACUAUUAUAUUCUUUAAUGAGAUAAAAUGAUCUUAAAGCUUUUAUAGAAGACUAAAGGUUAAAGACUUUUUAAAAAUUGUGAAAAAGAAGAAUACUGAGAGAUACUUCCCUUUCCAGAUAUUAAAACGUAUUUUAAGAUCUAGUACUAAAAUGUUAUGGUAGUUGCUCAUUAUCAUUGUGAUUGACCCUCUUUAUCCCUAGUAAUAUUUCUCACUCAGAUGUCUACUUUGUCUGUAUUAAUAUAGCCACUCUAGCUUUCUUUCGAUUAGGGUUUGCAUAAGAUGACUUUUUUUUUCACUGUUUUACCUUUAGCUUACAUGUGUCUAUAUUUAAAGUGGGUUUCUUGUGGACAACAUAUAGCUGGGUCUUACUUUUCAACCAGUCUGACAAUGUUUGUUUUUCAGUUGGGGUGUAUAGACCAUUUACAUUUAACAUACUUGUUAAUAUGGUUGGGGUUCUAUUUUUUUUUUAUGUGUUUUAUCUGGGUUUUUUGUUCUCUUUUUCCUCUUACCCUUCCUUCUUUUGGAUUAAGUAUGACUUUAUCUCCUUUAUUGGCCUAUUAGCUAUAACUCUUUGUUCUUAAUGUUAAUUUACUGGUUGCCUUAUAGUGUGCAUCUUUAACAUAUCACAGUCUACAUUCAAGUGAUAUUAUUCCACUUCACAUGUGAUAUAAGAAGCUUACUUCUAUCAACAAUACAUCAAAGAGAAUAGUUUUUAUGUAUUAUUGCCUCUAGGUCUAUCUUGGUUAAAAAGUUCUUUUCAAACCCAAGCUUAUACAUGUAUUCUCUUAAAACUGUUCUAUAGUUUUUGUUUACAUACAGAUUUUAAGUUUUUUUGGAAAUUGAUUUUUGUAUAUGGUGUGAAACAGGGGUCUAACUUUAUUUUCCUCCAGGCCAGUUGUGUCCUAACCAAUAUAAAAUAAACCAUUGUUUUCCCAUUGACUUCAAAUAGCACUUUUGGCAUACAGUCAGAUGUUGCUUAACAGUGAGGAUAUGUUCUGAGAAAUGCAUCAUUAGGUGGUUUUGUCAUUGUGCAAACAUCACAGAGUGUACUUACACAAACCUAAAUUGUAUAGCCUACCACACACCUAGGGCAUGGACAAUAGAAAAAGUAUUCUUCCAUUGUCUCCUUCUUGGCCUUUGUAUUAACCUUAUGAUAUUGGUAUCGUAAUAGGCAAAAAGAAAAGUAGAAGAGAAAAAAAUGUCCAGAAAUAGAUGUCAGUAUAUAUAUAUGAUAACUGAAUAUAUAGUCAGGCACUAUAUAACUACAUUUUGGUCAACAAUGGACUGCAUAUAUGACAGUGGUCCCAUAAGAUUAUAAUACUAUAUUUUUGCCAUACCUUUCCUAUGUUUAUAUACACAAAUACUUACCACAGUGUUACAAUUGCCUACAAUAUCAGUACAGUAACAUGCUGUACAGGUUUGUAGCCUAGGAGCAAUGGGCUAUACCAUAUAGCCUAGAUGUGCGGUAGGCUCUAUCAUCCAUGUUUAUGUAAGGGCACUCUAUGAUGUUUACUCAAAGGCAGAAUCACCUAAUGAUGCAUUUCUCAGAACGUAUUCCCAUUGUUAAGCAAUGCAUGGCUGUAUGCCAAAAGUGCUAUUUCAAGUUAAUGGGAAAACUAUGGUUUAUUUUAAAUUGGUUAUGACACAACUGGCCUAGAGAAGAAUAAAAUUGGGAUCCCUGCUUCACACCAUAUACAAAAAUAAAUUUCCAGAAAAACUUAAACUCUAUAUGUAAACAAAAACUAUAGAACAAUUUUAAAAGAAUAUAUGUGUAAGCUAGGGUUUGGAGAGAGAAACCUUUUUAAUCAAGACAAGAGCCUAGAGGCAAUAAAAUAUAAAAUAAAUAUAUUCGAUGAUAUAAAAUAUAAAAUGUUAUAUGGCAAAAUAAAAACAAAAUCACAAGACAAAAAGAUUGAUAAAAAGUAUGUGCCACAAAAAUAACUCACACAUAAAAUGAAUAUGCAUAUCUGUCAGAAGGUUCCUAUAAAUUGACUAUCAACAGAAUACAGAAAUAGAGACAAAUAAAUAUAAAAAGUCAAUUUAUAGAAGAGAAAUGCAAAUGGUCAAUAAACCAAUGAAAAUAUUUUCUAAUGUGGAGAAAAUGCAAAUUAAAGUAACAAUGAGAUGUCUCAACUUAUCUACCAAAUUAGCAGACAAUAAAAACUUACUAUUGAUGAAAAUGUGAAAAAAACCUAUUCUGUGCAUAUAUUGCCAGGGGAAAUUUGGAUUGUUACAGCUUUUAUGGAAAGCAAUCCAGAUAUAUAUUUUAAAUUUUACAAUUUACAUACUCUGAUGGAGAAAUCCUUCUGGAAAUCUAUCUGCUAUAAGUGAAAUUCCAAUAUGUAAAAAUAUACAUGCAAAGAUGUUUACCAUAGCGUUGUUUGUUGCAGCAAAAAAUUAGAAACUGAGUAAAUGCCUUUCAAUAUGGUGGAAGAAACUGUGAUACAAUUAAGCCAUGGAAUAUAAGUUAAUUAUUGAAAAGAACGAGUUGCAGCAGGGCAUGAUGGCUCACUCCUGUAAUCCCAGCACUUUGGGAGGCCAAGGCAGUAGGAUUGCUUGAGCCCAGGAGUUUGAGACCAGCCUGGACCACAUAAGGAGAUCCCGUACCUACAAAAAAAUUUAAAAAUUAGCCAGGUGUGGUGGCUCAGGAGGCUAAGAUAGGAGGAUUGCUUGAGCCUAGGUGGUCAAGG